AUUGAACGCUGGCGGCAGGCCUAACACAUGCAAGUCGAACGGUAACAGGAAGAAGCUUGCUUCUUUGCUGACGAGUGGCGGACGGGUGAGUAAUGUCUGGGAAACUGCCUGAUGGAGGGGGAUAACUACUGGAAACGGUAGCUAAUACCGCAUAACGUCGCAAGACCAAAGAGGGGGACCUUCGGGCCUCUUGCCAUCGGAUGUGCCCAGAUGGGAUUAGCUAGUAGGUGGGGUAACGGCUCACCUAGGCGACGAUCCCUAGCUGGUCUGAGAGGAUGACCAGCCACACUGGAACUGAGACACGGUCCAGACUCCUACGGGAGGCAGCAGUGGGGAAUAUUGCACAAUGGGCGCAAGCCUGAUGCAGCCAUGCCGCGUGGAUGGAGAAGGCCUUCGGGUUGUAAAGUACUUUCAGCGGGGAGGAAGAGAGUAAAGUUAAUACCUUUGCUCAUUGACGUUACCCGCAGAAGAAGCACCGGCUAACUCCGU
rnacentral:rRNA from 1 species